rnacentral:tRNA from 1 species
GGGGUUGUGGCUCUGAGGUCGAGUGCUUGCCUAGCAUGUGCAAGGCACUGGGUUCGAUUCUCAGUACCUCA